AUUGAACGCUGGCGGCAUGCUUUACACAUGCAAGUCGAACGGUAACAGGUUAAGCUGACGAGUGGCGAACGGGUGAGUAAUGCAUCGGAACGUGCCCGGUCGUGGGGGAUAACGCAGCGAAAGCUGCGCUAAUACCGCAUACGAUCUGAGGAUGAAAGCGGGGGACCGUAAGGCCUCGCGCGAUCGGAGCGGCCGAUGUCAGAUUAGGUAGUUGGUGGGGUAAAGGCUCACCAAGCCAACGAACUGUAGCUGGGCUGAGAGGACGAACAGCCACACGGGGACUGAGACACGGCCCAGACUCCUACGGGAGGCAGCAGUGGGGAAUUUUGGACAAUGGGCGAAAGCCUGAUCCAGCAAUGCCGCGUGCAGGAAGAAGGCCUUCGGGUUGUAAACUGCUUUUGUACGGAGCGAAAAGGUCUCCUCUAAUACAGGGGGCUCAUGACGGUACCGUAAGAAUAAGCACCGGCUAACUACGUGCCAGCAGCCGCCGUAA
rnacentral:rRNA from 1 species